GACGAACGCUGGCGGCGUGCUUAACACAUGCAAGUCGAACGGAAAGGCCCUGCUUUUGUGGGGUGCUCGAGUGGCGAACGGGUGAGUAACACGUGAGUAACCUGCCCUUGACUUUGGGAUAACUUCAGGAAACUGGGGCUAAUACCGGAUAGGAGCUCCUGCUGCAUGGUGGGGGUUGGAAAGUUUCGGCGGUUGGGGAUGGACUCGCGGCUUAUCAGCUUGUUGGUGGGGUAGUGGCUUACCAAGGCUUUGACGGGUAGCCGGCCUGAGAGGGUGACCGGCCAAAUUGGGACUGAGAUACGGCCCAGAGUCCUACGGGAGGCAGCAGUGGGGAAUAUUGCACAAUGGGCGGAAGCCUGAUGCAGCAACGCCGCGUGCGGGAUGACGGCCUUCGGGUUGUAAACCGCUUUCGCCUGUGACGAAGCGUGAGUGACGGUAAUGGGUAAAGAAGCACCGGCUAACUACGUG
rnacentral:rRNA from 1 species